CCUACGGGGGGCAGCAGUGGGGAAUAUUGCGCAAUGGGCGAAAGCCUGACGCAGCGACGCCGCGUGAGGGAUGAAGGUCUUCGGAUCGUAAACCUCUGUCAGCAGGGAAGAACGGUCACUGUGCUAAUCAUCAGUGAAUUGACGGUACCUGCAAAGGAAGCACCGGCUAACUCCGUGCCAGCAGCCGCGGUAAUACGGAGGGUGCGAGCGUUAAUCGGAAUUACUGGGCGUAAAGCGCUCGUAGGCGGUAUGUCAAGUCAAGGGUGAAAUCCCCGCGCUCAACGUGGGAACUGCAUUUGAAACUGGCAGACUGGAGUGUGUGAGAGGAUAGUGGAAUUCCAGGUGUAGGAGUGAAAUCCGUAGAUAUCUGGAGGAACAUCAGUGGCGAAGGCGACUAUCUGGCACAUAACUGACGCUGAGGAGCGAAAGCGUGGGUAGCAAACAGGAUUAGAUACCCGUGUAGUC
rnacentral:rRNA from 1 species